rnacentral:piRNA from 1 species
UGCCAUUACCAAAUGUUCUCCUUUUGAGACA